GAUCCUGGCUCAGGAUGAACGCUAGCUACAGGCUUAACACAUGCAAGUCGAGGGGCAGCAUUUUAGUUUGCUUGCAAACUGAAGAUGGCGACCGGCGCACGGGUGAGUAACACGUAUCCAACCUGCCGAUAACUCCGGAAUAGCCUUUCGAAAGAAAGAUUAAUACCGGAUAGCAUACGAAUAUCGCAUGAUAUUUUUAUUAAAGAAUUUCGGUUAUCGAGUGGGGAUGCGUUCCAUUAGUUUGG
rnacentral:rRNA from 1 species